rnacentral:sRNA from 1 species
CCACUUUCACUAUACCUCGGGAACCACCUCCAUCUCCAGCAGAAGUGAAGUUCUUUCCCAAGAAACAAAGAUCAAAGGGGAAAAGCAGAAGGUUAAGAGGACAUCAUGAUAGGAAGGUCUGUAAUUUGUGUGACUAGUUGAAAUUUAGGGUCUGUCACCUGAUGUCCCUUCCCUUUGCUGCAGGGCAAGAGUAUGGGUGACUGCUUGACAGCUGGAGAUGGCAACAAAAGUUCGUGCUUCCUUUGUAAAAGAAGUUAGAUCAUGGUUUCAGGAAAAAAAAAAAUGGUUCAUUUAAAGUGAAAACCCUUUUUUGCCUCCUUUU